rnacentral:rRNA from 1 species
GAUGAACGCUGGCGGCGUGCCUAAUACAUGCAAGUCGAGCGAACGGACGAGAAGCUUGCUUUUCUGAUGUUAGCGGCGGACGGGUGAGUAACACGUGGAUAACCUACCUAUAAGACUGGGAUAACUUCGGGAAACCGGAGCUAAUACCGGAUAAUAUUUUGAACCGCAUGGUUCAAAAGUGAAAGACGGUCUUGCUGUCACUUAUAGAUGGAUCCGCGCUGCAUUAGCUAGUUGGUAAGGUAACGGCUUACCAAGGCAACGAUGCAUAGCCGACCUGAGAGGGUGAUCGGCCACACUGGAACUGAGACACGGUCCAGACUCCUACGGGAGGCAGCAGUAGGGAAUCUUCAGCAAUGGGCGAAAGCCUGACGGAGCAACGCCGCGUGAGUGAUGAAGGUCUUCGGAUCGUAAAACUCUGUUAUUAGGGAAGAACAUAUGUGUAAGUAACCGUGCACAUCUUGACGGUACCUAAUCAGAAAGCCACGGCUAACUACGUG